UACGGAGGGGGCCAGCGUUGUUCGGAAUUAUUGGGCGUAAAGGGCGCGUAGGCGGCCGGAUAAGUCAGACGUGAAAUCCCUCGGCCCAACCGGGGAACUGCGUCUGAAACUUUUCGGCUCGAGUCCGGGAGAGGGUAGUGGAAUUCCCAGUGUAGCGGUGAAAUGCGUAGAUAUUGGGAGGAACACCGGUGGCGAAGGCGGCUACCUGGACCGGUACUGACGCUGAGGCGCGAAAGCCAGGGGAGCAAACAGG
rnacentral:rRNA from 1 species